CCAUCAACGUACUUGGGCAACGCAAUGUUUGCAGCUUCAUUAAUUGCUCUAUCUGGAAAUCUCCAAUCAAAACCAUUUGUAAAUACCCUAGAACGAGUUCAUGGAACAUUGCAAAGGAUGAAUAAUGAGUAUCUAAGAUCAGCUCUUGACUACCUAGAAACACUGCCAGAUAUAACAGUUGCCAGGAGAACACCGGACACUUACCAUUGCCCAAACCUAAGUAUCAACAAAUGGACACGACUGUCUUUAUAUGAUGCAGAUUUUGGAUGGGGUCGACCAAUAUACAUGGGUCCAGCAAACGUUGUCCAUGAAGGAAAAAUAUAUAUACUACCAAGUCCAACCGAUGAUGGGAGCUUGUCAUUGGUAGCAUGCCUACAGACUGCUCAUAUGAAACUCUUCGAGAAACAUCUAUACGAAGGCUUGAAGUCAUUUGACAAGAUCAAAGCUCAAUAUUAGUUGUUUGUUCUCUCUAUCAAUAUAUGUAUAAACCUAUAAAUCUUCUACUUAUGUUUCUUUAACUAAGACUUUUUGUUUGGAUCCUGUUUAUUUGAAAUUUACCAUCUAAGCUGGCCUGGCAAACAGGUCUUUUAUUGGUAAUUAUUGUACUAUACCUCGAUAAUAGUAAUAGCAUUGAUCGCAAAGAAAUAAUAAAGUAAAAUAAGAAUACACAGAUUUUACGUGGAAAAGUCUUAUUAGAAAAAAAAUCACGGGCAAAGUAAAAAUUUACUAAUGUUGAAAAGCAACAAUACAAGAAGUUUUUUUUACUACACACGUUUUAACGGUUAAAUAACAUUUUUAUAAUCAAUGUCUAAUAGAAGAUCGCUCCCACAUAUCCCCCAAAUUUGCAAUUCUAUUUUAUUUCUUUAACAAACAAGUUGCACCUCGAAUUUUUCUUGACUGGAUCAAACGGGGUUCAAAUCAAACAGCUCUGACAACACCUCAAAUUAUUUGUCCAUAACCAAUUAAAACAAAUACCGAAUAAUUGAAAUAUAUUCAAAAUUUUAAAUUAAAUUAAGUUUGGAUCAAACUCACUGAUGAUAUAUGAUUUACCUAAAGUGAAAUAAGAACUCGAAAAUACAAAAUUUAUGGGUAAAUUUUCUUUUUGGUCACUUAAUUAAAAAAUUAUAAUUUGGUUAUUAAACUAUUCAAAAGUUUUAUUUUAAGUCAUUGGAUUGUUAAAAUUUAUAUUAUACAACUUUCUCUAUUCGCAGUGCAUGCAUCAAUUGAAAGCUCUCUUUUUCCUUCAUUUUUACAGUUCAUUUUCUAUUUUUAUGUAACAACUUUGGACGUCAUAAAUCUGUAGACCAAAAUUUAAACAUUUUUUGCUCUGAUUUCCAACAUCGACCAUCAAAUCAAUUUAGAUCUAAAGUAUAUUUUUCUACUCAUUAAUGGAAUAAUGGGUAUCGAUCCAUCGUAUCGAUUGUUGAACCCUUACUUGGAGCUCGUUAGUGGAACUUAAAAAACAACUUAAUAGCCUAGUGACUUAAAUGAAAAUUUUCAAAUUUAGUGACCAAACCAAAAACUUUCCCAUAAUUUAAUGACUAAUGGUGUAGUUUACGCACUUCCUCUUGGCCCAAUUGAAGUUUUUGGUACUCCCAAACACUAGUAAAAAAGUUUUAAUAGUAGAAUGUAUGAAAUUUUUAAUAGAAAGUAACAUUUUACUUUUUGAUCUAUAUACAGAGACUAAUGUGCCAAUUUUUUAAAAUAAAUAUGACAAAAUGCAAUUUGACUUUUAAUAUAAAAAUCUCCAUGGUGCGUUUACCUUGAAAUUAUCAAUAAAAACUAAUAAAUAUAAAAUGAAACAGUUAAGAAUAUAUCAAAUAUUCACGAGGUGAUAGGCGCUUUUAAAAUUUAACAUUUACAACUUAAUGGGCUAGUGACAAGGCCAAGCAAACCAUUAGUGGAUUGGUAACAAAUUUGGUAAUAUUUUAACGAUCCAAUUGUUAAAUAUAUCGAUAUAACUGUAUUUGGUAUGAAUGUAAAAUUUCGAACCGAUCCGAUAUUUCUGACAUAUUGAUCUAAAAUAUUGCAUAUAUUAAACUAUUAAAUUUUUUUAUAUAAAAUAAAUAGUUAGUUUUUUUUUUAAUUUACAUCAAAUUUGACAUGCACAAUCUAUUUGAAUAGAAUAUGAAAUAUGAUAAUUGAAUCAUUAAAAUAUUAAUUGUAUAAAAAAUAAAAUACAUAUUUUAAAUUUAAUAUAAAAAUGUUUAAAAAACACUAAAAUAAAUUAAUAAAAUUCUCAAUGACUUUUGGGUUUAAAUCAAAAUUAUCGAAACUGGAUUAGAUCAAAUCGAAAAUUAAUUAAGGUAUGAGUUUGGAAUAAGAGGAUUAAUUAUCUCACAAAUUGGUUAAAUCGACAAAUCAGAUCAAUUUUUUUUCAAUUUUUAAUUUUUUAAUAAUUUAUUUAAUUAAAUUAAUAAAAUCAAUCAAAUCAGAAUUAGAAUCUAAUUCUAAACACUUUGUUUUGUUAUGUCAAAGCCACAUGUUUUUUUACACCUUAUUUAUUCUGCAAAUUACUGUCCGCACGUGUCAACUCUUUAUCAUCUUUUAAUGACGUGUACGGUAUAGAUAGCCUGUCUUCAAUUUUUUUAUUUGCCAAAUUCUGUUAUUAGUCCCUGUAUUAUAAGUAGUUUGCGAAUUUAAUCUCUAUAUUAAAAAAAUAGUCAAUUUUAGUUCUUAUACUUUUUAGCAUCUAAAAUUUUAAUCAUCCACAAGGAGUAGUAAUUAAAUAUGUUUGUUAAUUUAGGUCCUUAAUCUUUUACACAGUAUAAAGUUAUUCUACGUUCUCUAAUUUGAUCAUUCAUAAUCCUUAUAUUUUUUGAAUUUUUAAAUUUUAAUAAGCUGACAUAAUAUUACAUAUAUGAUAAUAUUUUUGACACAUAAGAUUUUGAACAUAAUAAAACAUAAUGAAUUUAAUGGUUAUCGUUUAGAUCAGGAUUGAAAUUUUAAAAUUAGAAAAAUAUAUGGACUAAAAUGAUUAAAUUAAAGUACAUACACUAAAUUUACAACUUUCCCAUUGCACAAGUACUAAUAGCAGGAUUUACCCUAUUUUUACAUUUAAAUAUGUAAAAAUAUCACCCAUCCACUGCCUCCCAACAGAGAAGAUAGGCUUUUUUUUUUUUGCAAUAAAAGAAUUAAUAAUUACUUGAUAAAUUAUUUUAUGGACAUUUUUUGUCAUAUCAUCCAUGAUCCCGUCCAAUUAGAAGAGAACGCGUCAUCUUUUUUUCCACAUCAUAUAUACAUUUAGACUAAACUUCCAAAUAAAAGAUGACGUGUCGUGUUUUAAUUGGGAGGAACUAUGGAUGAUGGGGUGAAAAAUGUCCAUAAAAUAAUUUCUCAUUAUUACCUUAUCUUCGAACACAAAAACACAAGCAUUAGCAAACAGAUUUCGCCCAUCUGCUACCUCCCAAUCGAGAAGAUAGGUUUUUUUUCUGAGUAACUCAAUUUUUUUGAUUAAUUAUGAACAUAAUUAACUUAAAAAUUAUGUCCGUAAAUGAUUUGAUUUUUACAGUGCUUGUCGAUGUUGCCAGACACACCGACGGCACCAGGCCCAUCAUCGACCAAUAAUUAUAUUAUUUUAAACAUUUUCAAUUCAUUCCUUAGCAUAUUUAAAUUUAUAUAAAUUGAGAUAAUUUUUUGAAGGAUAUAUUUGGGUAAUUUAAAUAAGACUUUUAACUUUAUUGUUUCUAAAAAAAUAAAAAAUUAUUUUUAUUAUUCUUAUAUUUUUAAGGACUAUUUAAAUAUAAUUUUAAAAAUAGAUAUACUUAACACGCAAAUAAAUAAAAAAUUAAAAAGCAUCAAAUUUGGUGCCGACAUGGUGCACCCUUUUUCUGCAAACUAAAAAGUUAUUAUUUUCUAGGUAAGGAAUAGUCUGUUUUAUUUACCUCAUAUUAUAUUUUAGUUAUUUAUAUUUAAAAUGUUAUUUUUAAGUGGUCACUCCACUGUUAAAUUUCGUUACCUCUCUAACGGUAAUUUUAUGUGACAGUUAGACCUGUCCAUGGGCCGGGCGGCUCAGCCUGGCCCGAAGGCCUGCCCGAAAUAUGGGAGGGUUCGGGUAAAAAUAUAGGCCCGAAAUAUGGGCUUGGGCAAAAAAAUGAGGCCCGUUUAAAAAAUGGGCCGGGCUUGGGCUCAACUUUUUUGGCCCGGGCCCGGCCCGGCCCGAAUAUAAUAAAUAUAUUUUUUAUUUUUAUUUUUUAAUUUUAAAAUACGUUAAAAAUAUUUUUUUUAUUUUUAUUUUUUUAUUUUUAAAAUAUUUUUUUGUGUUUAUUAAAAAUCGGGCCGGGCCCGGGCUUAUUAUUUUUUUCUCGGGCCGGGCCUGAGAAAAAUUUUAGGCCCAUAUUUCGGGCAGGGCCUAAGAGUCGGGCCGAAUUUUUUCCCGGGCCCAGCCCGGCCCAUGGACAGGUCUAGUGACAGUACAAAUGGGUUUUAAAUGCCAACUACGAUGCCCAAUUAUUAUGACAAAAAUAGGUUUUUAAUUAAAUAAAUUUAAUUUAGACUGCCACGUAGGACCGUCAUUAGGGAGGUAAGAGAGCUUAAUGAUAGAGUGAUCAAUUCGUAACAGAACGAUAACAUUAGUGACUAAAACGUAACAUUUCAAACUUAAGCGACUGUUUUAUAGUUUACCCUUAAUGUAAUUAUUGGCGGAUGAUCUGGCCGCACCGACAAACAGCAGAAAUUGAGUCAUUUUCGUAAUUAUUUACAAAAUUUGGGUUACUUUUCUAAAAAAACCAGAGAAGAGAACCUCGCCUCUGCUUAAGAUAGCCGGACACUUUCUAACUUUCCCUUCUUUCAGUUUUUCAUCAACAGGUUUGCCUCUUACCAGAACAUCAAUGGAUGUUAGUGUAAAGAGAUGGAGCAUGAUACGCCCUGCUCAAGAUACUCCUAAAGAAAGGCAAUGGAUUUCAAAUCUGGACAUGGUGAUAACAACAUACCAUGUCCCUUUGCUGUUUUUCUACAAACCAAAUGGCUCCUCUGAUUUCUUUAAGCCUCAAGUGCUACAGGAGGCUUUAAGCAAGACUCUUGUGCAAUUCUAUCCUAUGGCUGGGAGGUUGGGACGUGAUGAAAAUGGUAGGCUCGAGAUAGUAUGCAACGCAGAGGGUGUUCUGUGGAUAGAAGCUGAAACUACAUCGGCCAUGGAUGAUCUCGACGGUUUUACUCCCUGCUCAAAACUGAGGAAACUGGUUCCCACGGCUGAUUACUCUGGAGAUAUCAGUUCUUAUCCGCUUAUUAUGGCUCAGGUAAGUGAAUGAAGAACUAUUAGCUUAUUAUAGAUGAUAACUGUUACUUGCAGUAGGAGACCAAGGAUAAGCUCUGAGAAAACUCAAACAGUCUGAUACUGAAGUUAUAGCACAAGAAAAACUAAGCUAUCAGCUAAGAAGUUGAUAUAUGGCUUUUUUUUUUCUAAACUGACUUAAAAGAAUCGAUUAAUUAUGAAAAUUACCCAGGUAUAAUAUCUUAUAUGAGAAUGACCCGUUUUCUACCGUAAAAAUUGGUACCGCUAGACUAUUUAGCGGUACCGAUAUUUUUGUAAAAGUAUUACCAUCAACAAAUUAUCGAUAUAUACUUUCCAUUCAUCUUCACAAGAAAGUGCUAAUUACGGAGGUCCAUGGUGGUGGCUUAGUAGUGAUGAAGAUGAAACCAAAACCCUUUUCUCUUCAAUGAACCUCUGGUUUGACUCAUUUGUAAUAAUUAUUUUCGCUCGUUGGAUACAACCGCAUUUUAAAUGGAAAACUGUAAUAAUCCUCACAGAAGAAAAGCAAAGAACAAGAUUAAUCAAAGCGAACAAUAUUGUUACAAAUGAGUUAGGCGAGAGGUUCAUUGAAGAGAAAAGGGUUUCGAUUUCAUCUUCUUCACUGCUAAGCCACUGCCAUGGAACUCUUAGACCUUUCUCAUGAAGCUAAACGAUACCAUCAACAAAGUGUAUCCUUUUUACAAAACUAACAUCGGUGCCAACAAUGAGUCCGGCAACAUUCAAAAAAUAUAUAUUUUUAAAAAACAUGGGGUGGUGCUUCAAUGGAAAUGGUGGCACCAAAUUUUAUGAUAGAAAAUGGGUUAUUCUCGUACAAAAUUUUACACUUGAGUCAUUUUUAUAAUUAAUAAAAUUUUUUGGUCAAUUUUGAAAAAAAAAACCUUAAUGUUUUUGUUUCGAAAAGGUCAAUUGUUGAGUGUAUAUUUUGCUAGGUAACUACUCUUAAAUGCGGUGGAGUUUGUCUUGGAAUAGCAACUCAUCAUACUUUGACUGAUGGCACAAUGACCUUACAUUUCAUUAAUAGUUGGUCUGAAAUGGCAAGAGGCUUGCCCCAAAUUAGCAUGCCACCAGUUAUUGACCGAACCCUUCUUCGAGCAAGAGUGCCACCAAUCCCUAGAUUUCAUCAUCUCGAAUAUGACCGACCUCCUUCCUUAUACACCUCUACGUCACUUGGCCCUAAUAACCAUAAACCCUCAACUGUAUAUGUUUUCAAGAUCACACAAAAUCAACUUAAUACCCUAAAAGCCAAGUCAUGGGAACAUGGAAACAAAACCAAUUACAGCACCUACACCAUUCUAGUUGCAUACAUAUGGCGCUGUGCAACUAAAGCUUGGGACCUCUCAUAUGAUCAGCCAACCAAGUUACACAUGCCAACUGAUGGACGCCCCAGACUACAUCCUCCCCUCCCAUCAACGUACUUGGGUAACGCAAUGUUUGCGGCUUCAUUAAUUGCUCUAUCUGGAAAUCUGCAAUCAGAACCGUUUGUAAAUACCCUAGAACGAGUUCAUGGAACAUUGCAAAGGAUGAAUAAUGAGUAUCUAAGAUCAGCUCUUGACUACCUAGAAACACUGCCAGAUAUAACAGUUGCCAGGAGAACACCGGACACUUACCAUUGCCCAAACCUAAGUAUCAACAAAUGGACACGACUGUCUUUAUAUGAUGCAGAUUUUGGAUGGGGUCGACCAAUAUACAUGGGUCCAGCAAACGUUGUCCAUGAAGGAAAAAUAUACAUACUACCAAGUCCAACCAAUGAUGGGAGCUUGUCACUGGUAGCAUGCCUACAGACUGCUCAUAUGAAACUCUUUGAGAAACAUCUAUACGAAGGCUUGAAGUCAUUUGACAAGAUCAAAGCUCGAUAUUAGUUGUUUGUUCUCUCUAACAAUAUAUGUAUAAACCUAUAAAUCUUCUACUUCUGUUUCUUUAACUAAGACUUUUUGUUUGGAUCCUGUUUAUUUGAAAUUUACCAUCUAAGCUGGCUUGGCGAACAGGUCUUUUAUUGGUAAUUAUUGUACUAUACCUCGAUAAUAGUAGUAUCAUUGAUCGCAAAGAAAUAAUAAAGAAAAAUAAGAAUAUACAGAUUUUACGUGGAAAAGUCUUACUAGGAAAAAAAAUCACGAGCAGAGUAAAAAUUCACUAAUGUUGAAAAAUACUAAUACAAGAAGUUUUUUUGACUACACACAUUUUAACGGUUAAAUAACAUUUUUAUAAUCAACGUUUAAUAGAAGAUCGCCCCCACAUAUCCCCCAAAUUUGCAAUUCUAUUUUAUUUCUUUAACAAACAAGUUGCACCUCGAAUUUUUCUGAUUGGAUCAAACGGGGUUCAGAUCAAACAGCUCUAACAACAACUCAAAUUAUUUGUCCAUAACCAUAUUAAAACAAAUACCGAAUAAUUGAAAUAUAUUCAAAAUUUUAAAUUAAAUUAAGUUUGGAUCAAACUCACUGAUGAUAUAUGAUUUACCUAAAGUGAAAUAAGAACUCGAAAAUACAAAUUUUAUGGGUAAAUUUUCAUUUUGGUCACUUAAUUAAAAAAUUAUAAUUUGGUUAUUAAACUAUUCAAAAGUUUUAUUUUAAGUCAUUGGAUUGUUAAAAUUGAUAUUAUAUGACUUUCUCUGUUCACAGUGCAUGCAUCAAUUGAAAGCUCUCUUUUUCCUUCAUUUCUACAGCUCAUUUUCUAUUUUUAUGUAACAACUUUGGACGUCACAAAUUUGCAGACCAAAAUUCAAACAUUUUUUGCUCUGAUUUCCAACAUGGACCAUCAAAUCAAUUUAGAUCUAAAUUAUAUUUUUAUACUCAUUAAUGGGUACUGAUCCACCAUAUCGAUUGUUGAAUCCUUACUUGGAGCUCGUUAAUGGAACUUAAAAAACAACUUAAUAUAUAGCCUAGUGACUUAAAUGAAAAUUUUUGAAUUUAGUGGCCAAACCAAAAACUUUCCUAUAAUUUAAUGAUUAAUGGUGUAGUUUACGCACUUCCUCUUGGCCCAAUUAAAGUUUUUGGUACUCCCACACACUAGUAAAAAAGUUUUAAUAGUAGAAAUGUAUGAAAUUUUUAAUAGAAAGUACCAUUUUACUUUUUGAUCUAUAUACAGAGACUAAUUUGCCAAUUUUUUAAAUAAAUGGGGUAAAAUGUAAUUUGACUUUUAAUAUAAAAAUCUCCAUGGUAUGUUUACCUUGAAAUUAUCAAUAAAAACUAAUAAAUAUAAAAUGAAACAGUUAAUAAUAUAUCAAAUAUCCACGAGGUGAUAGGUGAUUUUAAAAUUUAACAUUUACAACUUAAUGGGCUAGUGACAAGGCCAAGCAAACCAUUAGUGGAUUGGUAACAAAUUUGGUAAUAUUUCAACGAUCCAAUUGUUUAAUAUAUCGAUAUAACUGUAUUUGGUAUGCAUGUAAAUUUUUGAACCGAUCCGAUAUUUCUGACAUAUUGAUCCAAAAUAUUGUAUAUAUUGAACUAUUAAAAGUUUUUUAUAUAAAAUAAAUAGUUAGUUUUUUUUUUAAUUUACAUCAAAUUUGACAUGCAUAAUCUAUUUGAAUAGAAUAUGAAAUAUGACAAUUGAAUCAUUAAAAUAUGGGUAAACUACACCCAUGGUCACUUUUGUUUACCUUAGGUUACAUUUCAGUCACUUAUGUUUGAAAUGUUACAUUUUAGUCACUUACGUUAUCGUGUUGUAACAUUUUAGUCACUGAGCCGUUAAUUGCCGUUAAUGGUGUAAUGGUAAGCUGACGUGGCACGUUAAAUCAUCAUUUCAAACAAAAACUUUAGGUUAAAUUAUAAAAAAAAUUAAAUUACUAAAAACGAAAAAAAUAUGGGGAUCAAUUAUAUAAUUUAACCUAAAAUUUUGUUUGAAAUGAUGAUUUAACGUGCCACGUCAGCUUACCGUUACACCAUUAACGACGAUUAAUGGCUCAGUGACUAAAAUGUUACAACUUGAUAACGUAAAUGACUAAAACGUAACAUUUCAAACAUAAGUGACUUAAACGUAACCUAAAGUAAACAAAAGUGACCAUGAGUGUAGUUUACCCUUAAAAUAUUAAUCGUAUAAAAAAAUAAAAUACAUAUUUUAAAUUUAAUAUAAAAAUGUUUAAAAAACACUAAAAUAAAUUAAUAAAAUUCUCAAUGACUUUUGGGUUUAAAUCACAAUUAUCGAAACAGGACAAAUCGAAAAUUAAUUAAUGUAUAAAUUUGGAAUAAGAGGAUUAAUUAUCUCACAAAUUGGUUAAAUCAACCAAUCAGAUAAUUUUUUUCAUUUUUAAAUUUUUUAAUAAUUUAUUUAAUUAAAUUAAUCAAAUCAAUCAAAUCGGAAUUAGAAUCUAAUUCUAAACACUUUGCUUUGUUAUGUCAAAGCUAUAUGUUUUUUUUACACCUUAUUUAUUCUGCAAAUUAUUGUCCGCACAUGUCAACUCUUUAUCAGCUUUUAAUGACGUGUACGGUAUAGAUAGCCUAUCUUCAAUUUUUUUUAUUUGCCAAAUUCUUUUAUUAUUCCUUGUAUUAUAAUUAGUUUGUGAAUUUAAUCUCUAUAUUAAAAUAAAAUGUCAAUUUUAGUCCUUAUACUUUUUAGCAUUUAAAAUUUUAAUCCUCCACAAAGAGUAGUAAUUAAAUAUGUUUGUUAAUUUAUGUCGUUAAUCUUGUACACAGUAUAAAGUUAUUCCACGUUCUCUAAUUUGAUCAUUCAUAAUCCUUAUAUUUUUUGAAUUUUUAAAUUUUAACAAGCUGAUAUAAUAUUACAUAUAUGAUAAUAUUUUUGACGUAUAAGAUUUUGAAAAUAAUAAAACUACUUAAUGAAUUUAAUGAUUAUCGUUUAUAUCAAUAUUGAAAUUUUAAAAUUAGAAAAAUAUACGGACUAAAAUGAUUAAAUUAAAGUACAUAGACUAAAUUUACAACUUGCCCAUUGCAUAAGUACUAAUAGCAGGAUUUAACCUAUUUUUACAUUUAAAUAUGUAAAAAUAUCACCCAUCCACUGCCUUCCAACAGAGAAGAUAAGUUUUUUUUUUUUAGCAAUAAAAGAAAUAAUAAUUACCUGAUAAAUUAUUUUAUGGAAAUUUUUCACCAUAUCUUCCAUGAUCCCGUCCAAGUAGACGAUGACACAUCAUCGUUUUUUUCCACAUCAUAUGUACAUUUAAACUAAACUUCUAAAUCAAAGAUGACAUGUCUUGUUUUAAUUGGUAGAAACUGUGGAUGGUCGGGUGGAAAAUGCCCAUAAAAUAAUUUCUCAUUAUUACCUUGUCUUCGAACACAAACACACAAGCAUUAGCAAACAGAUUUCGCCCAUCCGCUACCUCCCAAUAGACAAGAUAGGUUAUUUUUAAUUAACUCAAUUUUUUUGAUUAAUUACGAAAAUAAUCAACUUAAAAAUUACGUACGUAAAUGAUUUGAUUUUUACAGUGCUUGUCGAUGCUGCCAGACACAUCGGCGGCACCGGUCUCAUCAUCGACCAAUAAUUGUAUUAUUUUAAACAUUUUCAGUUCAUUCCCUAGCAUAUUUAAAUUUAUAUAAAUUGAGAUAAUUUUUUGAAGGAUAUAUUUGGGUAAUUUAAAUAAGACUUUUAACUUUAUUGUUUCUAAAAAAAUAAAAAGAAUUUAUUUUUGUUAUUCUUAUAUUUUUAAGGGCUAUUUAAAUAUAAUUUUAAAAAUAGAUAUACUUAACACGCAAAUAAAUAAAAAAAUUGAAAAGCAUCAAAUUUGGUGCCGACAUGGUGCACUAAAAAGUUAUUAUUUUCUGGGUAAAUUAUAGCAAUAGUCACUUUUAUUUACCUCAUAUUAUAUUUUAGUUAUUUAUGUUUAAAAUAUUACAUUUUAGUCACUUACAUUAUCAUUUUGUUAUUAAGUGAUCACUCCACCGUUAAACUUCGUUACUUCUCUAACGGUAGUCCUAUGUGACAGUACAAAUUGAUUUUAAAUGCCAACUGGCAACUAUGAUGUCCAAUUGUUGGGACAAAAAUAGGUUUUUAAUUAAAUAAAUUUAAUUUGGACUGCCACGUAGGACCGUCAUUAGGAAGGUAAGAGAGCUUAAUGAUAAAGUGACCAAUUCGUAAUAAAACGAUAAUAUAAGUGACUAAAACGUAAUAUUUUAAACUUAGGUGAAUAAAAUAUAAUCUGAAGCAAAUAAAAGUGACUGGUUUAUAGUUUAUCCAUAAUGUAAUUAUUGGCGGAUGAUCUGGCCGCACCGACAAACAGUACAAAUUGAGUCAUUUUCGUAAUUAUUCACAAAAUUUGGGUUACUUUAAUAAAAACCCGAGAAGAGAACCUCGCCUUUGCUUAAGAUAGACGGGCACUUUCUGACCUUCCCUUCUGUUGGUUUUUCAUCAGCAAGUUUGCCUCUGAUGGGUUGUCGAAUCCACCAAUGUAAACCUACGCCUAACUUGCAAAUUAAGCAGUAUAGGGAGUAGGGUCGAUCCCUCAGAGACUGGGUUUACUGCAAAUUGUUCCUCUCUUGACCAGAUUUUUGUCAGGGCAGUUGUCGUGCCCAAGAAAUUCAGAGGGAUAAAAUCUGAAACCUGAAAUAAAUAAAUAAAAAGCGUAAAAAGUAAAAGUUGAAGACAGAAUAAUAAAAACAGUGAAAUAAAUAUGAAGAAAAAUUAAUUAGAAUAAGCUCAGCUUUAGGCACGAAUUUUCCUCGUCUUUGAACCGAUCCUCGAAAUUGGAUGAACUCCUCUUUUCCAAUAACUAGUUAUAGCUACCAAGGACGCCUCGGGCACCAACUCUUCCUUGUGUAAAUUAGUUAUGGAACAUCCAAUAACUAACCUUUACCAAUCGAACAACCACGAAACAUUCGUGAUUUAGAACUCCGACAGCUUUGCGUUCUAGAAGAGCCUAGCUCGAACCAAUGCCCUCAACCGCGUGGGACAUUUAAAUCCGGUUACUACUUCCCUUGACGGAACCAAAUAGCAAUCUCCACGGGCACGCCACUGUGUUCACAGAAAACCAAAUAGAAACGUUCCUUUCGGAAUUCCAACUGUACGUCUAAUCACACUAAAUCAAACGACGUCUUUUUUUGACUUAGUGCUGGUCUGACUUUAUGAGUUGACAAAAUCAUACUCUUAAUCCAGAGAAGUAAUAAGUACUAGAAUUUUAGGAGUUAAAUGGCUCGGGUUCGUAACUCACGGGUUUUGACGAUGCUAAUUUCGGCCUAAAGCUGAAAAUGGUUUUAGUUGGCUAAGGUUUGGGGCACGUUGGUAUUAGAAUAAUUAAAUAAGAUUGAAUAAAUGAAAAAAAAAAAUGAAAGUGAGUGGUGAAGGUUAUGCAAGGUUGGAAAUUAAUUGCUAACAAAAAACAGGAAAGAAAAGAUUGAAUUGCAAGAGAUAAAAGCUUAAUUUAAAAACGAAAUGAUUAAAAACUUGAUGGAAAAUUUUAUGAAAAGACUUGAUGAAAAACUUUAAAAAGAACUUGCUGCAAAACUUGAUAAAAAAACUUGGUAAUUAAAAACUUGAUAAAAGAACUAGAUGAAAAAUACUUGAAGAAUGAAAAACACUUAAUGAAAGACUCAAUUGAAAGCUUGAUUCAUGAAUUGAUGAAUUGAUAAACAAUGUAGCCUCUAUUUAUACUAGUAGCUUUACUAAAUUAGGAGCCAACUAGUAUAGAAAAUCAAGGAAAAUAUUCCAUAAUAUAAAAAAUAUCCCAAAAUAAUCUCCCACUAAGUCAACAAUUUCAGCUAAUUAUUCUUGGAAAAAUUCUACUUUGGCCCUCGUUCUUUGCUUCUUUCNNNNNNNNNNNNNNNNNNNNNNNNNNNNNNNNNNNNNNNNNNNNNNNNNNNNNNNNNNNNNNNNNNNNNNNNNNNNNNNNNNNNNNNNNNNNNNNNNNNNNNNNUUAACCAAUUUAAUUACAUAAAAUAUGUAACUUUAGCAUUUAAUCAAAUCCCCCUACUUAGCUUAUUCUAGUCCUCGAGCAUUUUGUAUGUAUCUGCAAAAGGAAAAAUUUUCUCCAAAAUAGGACUUGGCCCUCAUGGUUUGCACAAUUCAACAAUUUAAUCCUAGCACACUAACAUCUCAAAUAACCUAGCCUAAGAAGUAAGUAAAUAUAUUUCAGAAUUUAUUAGAGCUUGAUAGACUUACCUUUCAUUUUAUUAUUUUUUGUGCUUAGGACAUUUUCGAAUUUUUUGACGCGAGACAUGAUGACAACCCAAGCACCAUGUUCCGGUUACUCAAUUCGGAUGUCUCUAAGCGGGUUAUUUCGCCCUACUCAUGAUAACUUGUUAGCGGAGUGAGUGCAAAGAAAUUGGACAGCUACACGAACCUUUUUACGCGAGAUGUGAUGACAACCCAAGCACCAUAUUCCGGUUACUUAGUCCAGUGUACAACCUCAAUUUUCACUCUUAACAUUCGUAUCAGAGGAGUAUUAUUAUUCAUUUUUUCUUUUUUUUCUUUUCUUUUUUUUUUUGAAAGAUAAAAUAGGUAGUCAAGCAAACUCAUAAUUCCCAAAAAUUUCUUACCCACUAAGUCUAGGUUAUUGAAAAGUUGUAUGUGUAAAGAACUAGAUAGCUAAAUAGGUCAAACCAUAAGUGUACCAUCCCAAUUUAUCAAAAGAAAAAUUUUACCUUUCACGAAAAACAUGCAAAAAUAGCGACAACAGAUAAGUAAAUUAGAACCAAUUUAUAUUUCCAUCCCCCCUACUUAUUUUACAUUGUCCCAAUGUAAUUCAAAGAAUAAAAGUAAAGAUAAGUAGGAGAAAGAGAGAAAAAGAAACUCUCCAUGUAUUUCAACGUCGUGGAGGGUGGUCUCGUAGGUAGAGUGGGCCUUGGCUGAAAUAAAAAGAAUUUUGUGGGUUGACAUGUGGAAUUUAAUUUUGUCUUGGAAUGUUUUCCUGUAAAAAUAAAAAUGAAAAUAAAAUAAAAUAGAAAAAAUAAAUAAUAAUAAUAAUAAUAGGAAAAUUUUAAAAAAUUCAAAUUUAUUAGCUAAGCUAUAAACUCGAAAAAUAAAUUAUUAAAAACCAAGAUUACGAGAUUUGGUAAAACAGUCGUGAUAAAUGCACCAAGUAAGUUCCCAGGAAAGAGAGGUGAGCCACAAUGGACAUACUUAAGUACCAAGUCUUUCCCUAGACAGAACUAAUCCUUGACAUGCAUUUUCAUUUUCUAUUUUACCAAAAAUUUUAUUUGCAUAAAGGAAAAGAAAAUUUGGGUUGCCUCCCAACAGCACUUUGUUUAACGUCGUUUAGCUCGACGACCUGUGUUAUUCAAAUUCUUUAUCUUUUUGUAAUAGACUGCAAAGCGGUUGCAUGAUCUUCGAGAAGUCUUUUAUGAAUUGUCUGUAAAAUCCGUACACCGUGAAAUCAUUCAUGAAGACUUCAAUGAUUUUCUCAACAUAAUCGGAAAAUAUGCUCACCAUGCAUUUCUGGAAAGUGGUCGGAGCAUUACAGAGUCCAAACGACAUUCGUCUAUACGUAAACAUUCUGGAAGGGCACGUGAAAGUUGUUUUGUCUUGAUCCUCUGCCUCCCUCAAUGUUUCGAGGAUUUCUUUUUCCUCUUUCGCUUUCUUAUCCUUUGCGAGCCUCUCUGGAAAAAGAGGUGGCAUCAAGAAUGGUUUCUGAAUUUCUGAUUCCGGUCUGACUUUUGGAUCAGAGAUCUGCUUUUCCCGUUCAUUGCCUUACCCAUAACUUUUGUCUGGAACUGUUUCCAGAAUCUUUGCGCUACAAAGAGUUAUUGCACUUACAUUCUGCCUAGGAUUCAGCUCUGUUUGGGAAGGUAAUUUACCUUGAGAUUCCAAACGAUUAACUGCCAUCGAGAGUUUACUAACUUGAUUAGUUAACUCUUAUAUUGAUGCGUCUGUCCUCUUUUGAUAUUUUGCAGCAUUGAAAGCAAGUCUUUCCACAAGAGCGUCUAGAGAUGUGCUUGACUUGGGUUGUUAUUGUGGUGGUUACAAAUGUCUCGGUUGGUAUGAUGGAUUAUAUCGGGGAUUAGCUCCGUAAUUCAAGUUGGGAUGAUCCUUCCACCCGGGAUUGUAAGUGUUGAAGAAAGGAUCAUAACGUCUUUGUGGAGGUUCUGAAAAACCUCCGAUAGCAUCAACAUGUGCCUUUGAAUUUUCGUUAAGGAUUGGGCACAAAUCUGUCGAAUGUUCAGAUAUAGUACAAAUUCCACACGGUUGGGUCCGAUUCUUCUUUUCUGUAAGCAUAGAUUGAACAAUAUUAGUAAGCUUAUCCAAUUUAUCUUCUAAGGAUGAAACGUUUACCCAAUUAACCCGUCUUGUGGGUUCUGAAUCCGGCCGAUACUGUUGAGAAUUUGUCGCCAUGGUGGAUAUUAGUUCUCUUGCCCUUUGAGGAGUCAUAUUGACAAGCGCCCCUCCACUAACAGCGUCAAUCAUCUUCAUUUCCAUAGGGAGCAAACCCUCGUAGAAAUAUUGAAAAAGUGAUUGCACGGUCAAACUGUGUUGAGGACAACUUGCACACAGUUUUUUAUACCGCUCCCAAUAGUCGUAGAGCGAUUUACUCUCCAUUUGGCGAAUUCCCACUAUGUCUCUCCUUAGUUCAGCUACUUGCGAUGUUGGGAAAAAUCUGUCAAGAAAAACACGAGAUAAGUCAUCCCACGUUGUAAUAGAACCAGGGGGUAAGUAAAAUAACCAUUCUUUUGCUGUAUCAACUAAAGAAAAAAGAAAGGCCCGAAGUUUAAUUUUAUCUUCGGUUACUCCCUGUGGUUUCAAGCUUGAGCAGACCAUGUGGAAUUCUCUCAAGUGAGUGUGUGGAUUUUCAUUCUUCAAGCCUUGAAAAGUGAGCAAAAGGUGAAUUAGGACUGACUUUAACUCGAACGAGGUUUUUCCGACUGGAUAGUUGAUGCAUAACGGUGUUUGCUCGUUGGGAGCAGUGGCUAGUUGACGAAUGGUUCGGUUCACCAUCCUUUCUAGUUCACCGAGGUUGUCUUCUGCUUCUUUUAUUUUAGGAAGUGAUUUGGUCUCAGGUUCAACCACUUCAACUUUUUUUCCACGUUGAAUUGCUUCUACACGUUUAAGAACUUCUGUCUCUUUACGUCGUGCUCGUGCUGAUUUUUUGAUCUCUGGGUCGUAUUCGAGAUCUCCGGAGGAAGAUCUGGUCAUGAAAAUAAUCUAAACAAUUGUAAGUGUUGCCAGUCCCCGGCAACGGUGCCAAAACUGAUGGGUUGUCGAAUCCACCAAUAUAAACCUACGCCUAACUUACAAAUUAAACAGUAUAGGGAGUAGGGUCUAUCCCUCAGAGACUGGGUUUACUGCAAAUUAUUCCUCUCUUGACCAGAUUUUUGUCGGGGCAGUUGUCGUGCCCAAGAAAUUCGGGGGGAUAAAAUUUGAAACCUGAAAUAAAUAAAUAAAAGCGUAAAAAGUAAAAGUUGAAGAUAGAAUAAUAAAAACAGUGAAAUAAAUAUGAAGAAAAAUUAAUUAGAAUAAGCUCAGCUUUAGGCAUGAAUUUUCCUCAUCUUUAAACCGAUCCUCGAAAUUGGAUGAACUCAUCUUUUCCAAUAAGCUAGUUAUAGCUACCAAGGACGCCUCAGACACCAACUCUUCCUUGUGUAAAUUAGUUAUGGAACGUCCAAUAACUAACCCUUACAGGUCGAAUAACCACAAAACGUUCGUGAUUUAGAACUCCGGUAGCUUUGCGUUCUAGAAGAGCCUAGCUCGAACCAAUGCCCUCAACCGCGUGGGACAUUUAAAUCCGGUUACUACUUCCCUUGAUGGAACCAAAUAGCAAUCUCCACUUGGCACACCAAUGUGUUCACAGAAAAACGAUUAGAAACGUUCCUUUCAGAAUUCCAACUGUACGUCUAAUCACACAAAAUCAAACGACAUCUUUUUUUGACUUAGUACUGAUCUGAUUUUGUGAGUUGACAAAAUCAUACUCUUAAUCCGGAGAAGUAAUAAGUACUGGAAUUUUAGGAGUUAAAUGGCUCGGGUUCGUAACUCACGGGUUUUGACAAGGCUAAUUUCGGCCUAAAGCUGAAAAUGGGUUUAGUUGGCUAAGGUUUGGGGCAUGUUGGUAUUGGAAUAAUUAAAUAAGAUUGAAUAAAUGAAAAAAAAUGAAAGUGAGUGGUGAAGGUUAUGCAAGGUUGGAAAUUAAUUGCUGACAAAAAACAGGAAAGAAAAGAUUGAAUUGCAAGAGAUAAAAGCUUAAUUUAAAAACGAAAUGAUUAAAAACUUGAUGGAAAAUUUUAUAAAAAGAUUUGAUGAAAAACUUUAAAAAGAACUUACUGCAAAACUUGAUAAAAAACUUGGUAAUUAAAAACUUGAUAAAAGAACUAGAUGAAAAAUACUUGAAGAAAGAAAAACACUUAAUGAAAGACUUAAUAGAAAGCUUGAUUCAUGAAUUGAUGAAUUGAAAAACAAUGUAGCCUCUAUUUAUACUAGUAGCUUUACUAAAUUAGGAGCCAACUAGUAUAGAAAAUCAAGGAAAAUAUUCUAUAAUAUAAAAAAUAUCCCAAAAUAAUCUCCCACUAAGUCAACAAUUUCAGAUAAUUGUUCUUGGAAAAAUUCUGCUUUGGCCCUCAUUCUUUGCUUCUUUCUUCAAUCUAGCCCAAUUGUUUCAUUUUUCUUCUAUUUAGCCCCAAAUUGCAUUCCUGCACAAAAUUCAAUAAAUAUGGCAAAAUUCGUGGUGCAUUCUCAUAAAUUAACCCAUUUAAUUACAUAAAAUAUGUAACUUUAGCAUUUAAUCAGCCUCUUACCAGAACAUCAAUGGAUGUUAGUGUAAAGAGAUGGAGCAUGAUACGCCCUGCUCAAGAUACUCCUAAAGAAAGGCAAUGGAUUUCAAAUCUGGACUUGGUGAUGCCAACAGACCAUGUCCCUUUACUGUUUUUCUACAAACCUAAUGGCUCAUCUGACUACUCCAAGCCUCAAGUGCUACAGGAGGCUUUAAGCAAGACUCUUGUGCAAUUCUAUCCUAUGGCUGGGAGGUUGGGACGUGAUGAAAAUGGUAGGCUCGAGAUAUUAUGCAACGCAGAGGGUGUUCUGUGGAUAGAAGCUGAAACUACAUCGGCUAUGGAUGAUCUCGACGAUUUUACUCCCUGCUCAAAACUGACGAAACUGGUUCCCAAGGCUGAUUACUUUGGAGAUAUCAGUUCUUAUCCGCUUAUUAUGGCUCAGGUAAGUGAAUGAAGGACUAUUAUCUUAUUAUAGAUGAUAACUGUUACUUGCAGUAGGAGACCAAGGAUAAGAUCUGAGAAAACUCAAACAGCCUGAUACUGAAGUUAAAGCACAAGAAAAACUAAGCUAUCAGCUAAGAAGUUGAUAUAUGGCCUUUUUUUCAAAAAUUGAGUUAAAAAGAAUCGAUUAAUUAUGAAAAUACCCAGGUAUAAAAUCUUAUACGAGAAUGACCCAUUUUCUACGGUAAAAAUUGGUACCGCGAGACUAAUUAGCGGUACCGAUAUUUUUGUAAAAAGUAUUACCAUCAACAAAGUAUCAAUACUUUCUAUUCAUCUUCACAAGAAAGUGCUAAUUACGGAGGUUCAUAGUGGUGGCUUAGUAGUGAAGAAGAUGAAACCAAAACCCUUUUCUCUUCAAUGAACCUUUGGUUUGACUCAUUUGUAAUAAUCAUUUUCGUUCGUCGAAUUUGACUGCAUUUUAAAUGGAAAACUAUAAUAAUCCUCACUGAAGAAAAGCUAAGAACAAGAUUAGUCAAAGCGAACAAGAUUAUUACAAAUGAGUCGGGCAAAAGGUUCAUUGAAGAGAAAAGGGUUUCGGUUUUCUCUUCUUCACUGCUAAGCCACCACCAUGGAACUUUUAGCACUUUCUCGUGAAGCUAAAUGAUACCAUCAACAAAGUAUUGAUCCUUUACCGAUGCCACCAAUGAGUCCAACAACAUUCAAAAUAAAUAUUUUUUUUUAAAAAAACAUGGGGUGGUGCCUUCAAUGGGAAUGGUGGCACCAAAUUUUAAGGUAGAAAAUGGGUCAUUCACGUACAAGAUUUUACACUUGAGUCAUUUUUAUAAUUAACCAAUUUUUUUGGUCAAUUUUGAAAAUAAAAAACUUUAAUACUUUUGUUUCAAAAAGGUCAAUUGUUGUGUGUUUAUUUUGCUAGGUAACUACUCUUAAAUACGGUGGAGUCUGUCUUGGAAUAGCAACUCAUCAUACUUUGACUGAUGGCACAACGGCCUUUCAUUUCAUCAGUAGUUGGUCUGAAAUGGCAAGAGGCUUGCCCCAAAUUAGUAUGCCACCACUUAUUGACCGAACCCUUCUCCGAGCAAGAGUGCCACCAAUCCCUAUAUUUCAUCAUCUCGAAUGUAACCCACCUCCUUUCUUAAACACCUCUACGUCACUAGGCCCUAAUAACCAUAAACCCUCAACUGUAUCUGUUUUCAAGAUCAUACAAAAUCAACUUAAUACCCUAAAAGCCAAGUCAUGGGAACAUGGAAACAAAACCAAUUGCAGCACCUACACCAUUCUAGCUGCAUACAUAUGACGCUGUGCAACUAAAGCUCGGGGCCUCUCAUAUGACCAAAAAACCAAGUUAGACAUGCCAAUUAAUGGACGUCCCAGACUACAUCCUCCCCUCUCAUCAACGUACGUGGGCAAUGCAACGUUUGCGGGUUCAUUAAUUACUCUAUCUAGAAAUCUCCAAUUAGAACCGUUUGUAAAUACCCUAGAACGAGUUCAUGAAACAUUGAAAAGGAUGAAUAAUGAGUAUCUAAGAUCAGCUCUUGACUACCUAGAAACACUGCCAGAUAUAACAGUUGCCAAGAGAAAACUGGACACUUACCAGUGCCCAAACCUAAAUAUCAACAAAUGGACACGACUGUCUAUAUAUGAUAUAGAUUUUGGAUGGGGUCGACCAAUAUACAUGGGUCCAGCAAAUGUUGUCCAUGAAGGAAAAAUAUACAUACUACCAAGUCCAACCGAUGAUGGGAGCUUGUCACUGGUAGCAUGCCUGCAAACUGCUCAUAUGAAACUCUUUGGGAAACAUCUAU
rnacentral:lncRNA from 1 species